rnacentral:rRNA from 1 species
ACGAACGCUGGCGGCAGGCUUAACACAUGCAAGUCGAGCGCCCCGCAAGGGGAGCGGCAGACGGGUGAGUAACGCGUGGGAAUCUACCCUUUUCUACGGAAUAACGCAGGGAAACUUGUGCUAAUACCGUAUGAGCCCUUCGGGGGAAAGAUUUAUCGGGAAAGGAUGAGCCCGCGUUGGAUUAGCUAGUUGGUGGGGUAAAGGCCUACCAAGGCGACGAUCCAUAGCUGGUCUGAGAGGAUGAUCAGCCACAUUGGGACUGAGACACGGCCCAAACUCCUACGGGAGGCAGCAGUGGGGAAUAUUGGACAAUGGGCGCAAGCCUGAUCCAGCCAUGCCGCGUGAGUGAUGAAGGCCCUAGGGUUGUAAAGCUCUUUCACCGGUGAAGAUAAUGACGGUAACCGGAGAAGAAGCCCCGGCUAACUUCGUGC